rnacentral:rRNA from 1 species
UACGUAGGGUGCAAGCGUUAAUCGGAAUUACUGGGCGUAAAGAGUGCGCAGGCGGUUUUGUAAGUCAGCUGUGAAAGCCCCGGGCUCAACCUGGGAAUUGCGAUGGAGACUGCAAGGCUUGAAUCUGGCAGAGGGGGGUAGAAUUCCACGUGUAGCAGUGAAAUGCGUAGAGAUGUGGAGGAACACCGAUGGCGAAGGCAGCCCCCUGGGUCAAGAUUGACGCUCAUGCACGAAAGCGUGGGGAGCAAACAGG